GUAGGGAAUAUUGCACAAUGGGCGAAAGCCUGAUGCAGCAAUGCCGCGUGAGUGAUGAAGGCCUUUGGGUCGUAAAGCUCUGUCGUAAGGGAAAAACCUUUAAUUGCUAAUAUCAAUUAAAGUUGAUGGUACCUUACAAGAAAGCACCGGCUAACUACGUGCCAGCAGCCGCGGUAAUACGUAGGGUGCAAGCGUUGUUCGGAAUUACUGGGCGUAAAGCGCGUGUAGGCGGCUAUAUAAGUCAGAUGUGAAAUCCUGGGGCUUAACCCCAGACGUGCAUCUGAAACUAUAUAGCUUGAAUGUGGAAGAGGGUAGCGGAAUUCCUGGUGUAGUGGUGAAAUACGUAGAUAUCAGGAGGAACAUCGGUGGCGAAGGCGGCUCACUGGCUCGAUACUGACGCUGAGGUGCGAAAGCGUGGGGAGCAAACAGGAUUAGAAACCCCUGUAGUCC
rnacentral:rRNA from 1 species